rnacentral:rRNA from 1 species
UACGAAGGGGGCUAGCGUUGUUCGGAUUUACUGGGCGUAAAGCGCACGUAGGCGGAUCGUUAAGUCGGGGGUGAAAUCCUGGAGCUCAACUCCAGAACUGCCUUCGAUACUGGCGAUCUUGAGUCCGGGAGAGGUGAGUGGAACUCCUAGUGUAGAGGUGGAAUUCGUAGAUAUUAGGAAGAACACCAGUGGCGAAGGCGGCUCGCUGGGCCGGUACUGACGCUGAGGUGCGAAAGCGUGGGGAGCAAACAGG